rnacentral:rRNA from 1 species
GACAGAGGGUGCAAACGUUGUUCGGAAUUACUGGGCGUAAAGCGAGUGUAGGCGGUCUUGUAAGUCGGAUGUGAAAGCCCCGGGCUCAACCCGGGAAGUGCACUCGAUACUGCGAGGCUAGAGUAUCGGAGAGGUUGGUGGAAUUCUCGGUGUAGAGGUGAAAUUCGUAGAUAUCAGGAGGAACACCGGUGGCGAAGGCGGCUUCCUGGACACUUACUGACGCUGAGACGCGAAAGCGUGGGGAGCAAACAGG